GUCAAGUCAUCAUGCCCCUUAUGCCCAGGGCUUCACGCAUGCUACAAUGGCCGGUACAAUGGGCUGCGAUACCGUGAGGUGGAGCGAAUCCCAAAAAGCCGGUCUCAGUUCGGAUCGGGGUCUGCAACUCGACCCCGUGAAGUCGGAGUCGCUAGUAAUCGCAGAUCAGCAACGCUGCGGUGAAUACGUUCCCGGGCCUU
rnacentral:rRNA from 1 species